CUGCCCCUCCUCUUUCCCUCACAAGAAAUUUAUCACUGAUUAGUGAUAAUCACUGCUGUGGAGACAUAGGGUGGGAUAGGGGUAGGGCCUUUACUGAAAUUCCCCAGGGUGAUAUAAUGCCAUUCUGUCUGUAUUUGCCAAAGCUUGUCCUUUGGGUUGAUAUUUUGUUAAAACAGAACUCCAGACUAGUAAUGUUGAACUAUGCUGUAUUAGUGUCCAUAGGCAGACAUUUAAGACAGUUUUAAAAGAAUAAAAUGGCUUAUUUUGAUUUUCUGUGUAGAAAGAUACAUCAUUUCAGUUUAAGAGGUCAUGUUAAAGUAAAAAAUUAAGUAUUUACCAAAACUAAAGUUCUUUUGCCGUUUCAGUUUGUGGAAACACGGAGUCCCUCAGGCAUUGCAGUGUUUGGAGAUGGUUUUCAUACAUGGAACUCUUGGUUGCUUCCCAGGUCAGGUUCACAGGCUCUGAGCUGAACAAUUACGUCCUCACGACUUUCUGGAAAGAACACAGGCAAAAUUGAGGUAUUGAGCUCUAAAGCUGAAAUCUUAAAAUUCCCUUAACCCUAGAGGCCCUCCAGAAUCUGAGAGUUGGUACCUCAUAUUUUGGCGAGCAUAGCUCUUCCAGCACCUGAAAUGAUGCCUUUUCCCCUGAAACAUGCUGAAGUCUAGACAGUACCUUGACGUGUAACCUCAUAUUAGCUUGACUAUUCCCCAUAAUAUUAAUAAGCUUUAACACUUUUUUCUCCCAUGGUGAAAUGGUCACCUCCCAUGUGCUGGAACCGCCAACCAUAUGCCAAGGAGAUCAAGCUGUCAGUUUUGAGAAGAGCACUGGGAGCUGGGCAUUGUGUCCAGUUCACUGUGCUCGCCUGCCCCUGGGAGAGCAGCUCAGCAGCAGCAGUGGUUGUGCUCUGCUGUUCCUGGGUCCCGCUGGGCAGUGAGUAAUCUGGUGGGGAAUGGUUUUAGCAAAUGCACCAAAUGAGGACCGUGUUGUGACAACUGAUGGGAGACUCUGCUUGGGUUUUGUACUCUCAGUGGUGCUGAGGGACUGAAGGAACCAGGGCAAAUCUACAGUGCAGAGGGCAAAAGGCCAACCUGAUGUGGCUGGCUGAAACUUGCCACUGUAUUGUCUGGCUCUUUUAGAGAGUUCUCUGCCCUGGCCCUUCUUUCAGAGACAAGGUCGCUGUCCCAGGAGGAGGAGUGUUUCCUGGAGCUGUACUGCAGUCCUGUGCAGCACAGCUGCCAGAUGGCCCUCACUGCCAAGCAGAACUGCUUGCUGGGUCUCACAUGCUUUAAAGUCUUACCCUGGGUCUCAAAGGAAACAAGAGGGAGGAUGAUUUGACACACAUUCUCCUGAUUUGACAUAUGAUAUGGUUACAACAUGUUGUGUCCUCCAGAAGAAAUCCAAAAUACAUGUUCGUGUACAGGCACAAAUCUGGCUGUUCCCUGAUAAACUGUUCAUGUGGAAAGAUACAAUUUGCAUGGUUGUCAUCAAAGCCGGUGUAUGUAUUCAUUUGCAGAAGCAUGUCAGACACCAUAUGCCAGUAAUAUGCCUUUGAUAUGUUGGUGUCUGAAUCAUUUUUUUAACUGCUGAAUGGCAUAUGUUUAAAUGUAAACAUCUGCUCUGUGUUUGUGCUGCCUGUGUUUUUUAUUUCUGUAUUUUCUUUUGACUAAGAGUUUGAUUCAAACCCAGAAAAAAUGUGGGAUUCUUCCUGUUUUUAAAGAAAGACCAUUUUUUAGUAUUUCAUCAUAUGGCCAAUGUGUAUGUUCUCAUAGGUGUGAAGCAUAUUUAAAAGAGAAGUUUUUCCCUUUUGGUAACCAAAACAAACUCAAUUUCCAGGCAAAAUAAAAAUUUUAUUGGACUAGAAGUUUCUUGAAUAAAAAAAUUAUUGUAUUAGUGUUGGGCAGGUUCUGUAAUCUAUGAAUUUACUGGAAAGCAGACUAAUGUUAUACCAUGACAUUAAAUUAUUUUUAUUCAGAAACUUUUCUGAUUCAGAUAAAGAACUUGCAGUGUAAUAAAUGACUUAAUAAAGGAAUGAAAUAAUA